GUGGAGGAAACAAACAGGACCGACUCCUUCACCUGCUCCAGAUGAUGUCACCUACUGUGAUGUCACUGUGAGACACACAGCCAAUAGGAAAGACAAACACUCUGCUGCUGAAGACACAGUCUACUCUGGAGUGAGGACACACACUGCAGGUCCUGCUGACGUCACCUACGGG